UCCUCGGCGAACUGCCACUGUUAAUUCGUAUUUAUUUUAUUGUGCCAGCUUGGGUACGAUCUGUGAUGAUGCACGGAUUUAUCUUUAUACUUGGCGUGUGUCUGUGUCUUCCGUCGGCACAUCUAUACAUGCCUUCAGAUUCGACUUGCACAGAAGGCCAGAAAUGUUCACGAUGUGGCUCCGAUGGCAAGUGCCAAAGUGAGUGUUUUGUUGGAUAUUAUGGCUCACACUGCAACCACAGAUGUAGCCAAGGAUGCUUAAACAAUACGUGUACAUUAAACACACAAAAUGGUGUCAGCGAGUGCUCUCAUGGAUGUCAAUUAGGGUUGUUUGGCCGAAGCUGUAGGGUGCCCUGUAUAACUUCUUCACCUGGAUGUAAGCGAUGUGCAUCUGGAUGUGUUGGAUCUUACUGCGUGCAAAAUGACAGCUGCUGGGGAAACUGUGUCGAUUCUUACUUUGGUUCCCAGUGUAAAUCAUGUUCGAAACAAUGUGAACUCUGUAACUACACGACAGGAGAAUGCCAAAGGUGUGCGGCCGGUUACACUGGAGGAAAGUGUGAGCAUGUGUGUCACAACUGUUCAGGACAUUGUACAACGGCACAAUGUACUACAUGUUUAACAGGGUAUUAUGGGCAACUCUGUGAUGAUACAUGUAGUAUACAUUGUGAUGUGUAUUCCAAUUCAACGAGUAGUUCUCCCGUACAAUGUGACAAAACGUCGGGGGAAUGUAAAUAUGGAUGUAAACGCGGAUGGUACGGAGAGAAGUGUAAUGAAACAUGCAGCAGAGGAUGUUAUCACAGUGAAUGUGACCAGAAGGGCGAGUGUAAACAUGGCUGUGUAUUGGGUUAUUAUGGCCCGGGGUGCAUCCAGUGUCACCCAGGAUGUCAUGGAACGUGCGACACCAUCAACGGUCACUGCGCUGAUGGGUGCAAGAAGGGAUACUACGGUUGGAACUGUAGCUUACACUGUAGAUCAUGUGUGACGAGGGUGUGCGAACAACAGACGAGAUUUUGUGUCGUCAGAUGUAAUUCCACCUAUGACAAUGACUGUGACAAACUGUGCAAGGAGAACUGUUCUACGUCUGACAUAUGCCAGACAUCCAAGUGGUGCAGUGAUGCAAUAACUUCCUCGACAACAGAAUCAGAUUUUGAUAAAAAAGGUAAGUAUAUUUUAUGAGACUGUUCCCAUAUUAAAUCUUGGAAUGACAUUUAGAUAUUACUGUGAAAAGGGACGUGUUAUGCAAACGUAUAUCCAACAUGUAGUUGUAAUAAUUAUUAUUCAAAUAUAUAUAAGUCGCCUUGAUGUGAUGCCUUUGGUCUAUAAAAGUGUGUUUAUUUGUUCCCGAUUUCCAUGACAAAAAAAUCGGAUUUAACCUUAAAUGAAGAUAGGGUUUAUAUUCGGAGAAAACUCAAAGACCGUUCAAUAUUUCUUGAUCAAACUUUUUACAGUUAUCAGUCAAGCCAUGCACUAACGGUGGGGUUUGAUGGUAACCCCUGUUUCCAGUGACACUACCUUACAGAGACGACAGCAUGUACUAUUCAACCAGCAGCACAUCAGUUUAUGAGUCAGUGUCAUUGUCUUUUUAGAAGCCACUCCCCGGCUUUUUGGGGGGACUGAUUGACGGACUGAAUAAUUGAUGCUUGUUUUAUUCAACCUGCCAGUGUCUGUUGAACCUAACUACAUAUUGGACGUGGGAAUCAUUCUUGCUGUACUGCUGCUGAUUGUUAUUAUCCUAUUGCUGUUGCUCCUUCUGCGUAAAGCACCACAGUUUUGUCCACGGAGAAGAUUGUCCAACGGAAACGACCCAGAACACGCUGUGGAUGUUGAGGAAAUGCGUCAUAUGGAUACACGAUAUGAACCCCUGCAUAGGUACUGGGAAAUAAACUAUAGUGACAUGCACAGAAACAUGGCUGCGUCCUCUGAUGAUUCCCAAUCCCCUGUACACCUGCGUGAAGGUACGCAUAACGCAUCUGACGUAAAUGAAAGGGACACUUCAGAUGUUGAACCUGACAUCGAUGGACCUCGAAACGAUAGUGAGAAAGAAUCUCGAGCAGAUGUCAUUUAUGAACGAUAUUUGUCCCCUUGUAUGCCAGAACCGGUUCCGUAGUAUGAGAGUGCAUUAAAGCUAAAUGUUGUACAUAUGCACAGGGAUAUAUAAAACAUCUUUCUCAACUAAGCAGCCAGCUAUAGAUGUGGUUCAGUAAUUUUGAGAAAUCACCUGCUUACAAUCUGAAGACGUCCCAACACACGAUGUGAGUUUAAGAGAUAGCUGAGAAUUAUGUUCUGAUGGAUACACACAAUUAUAUAAGCUUAAAAUAUAAUGUAUCAUAUGGCCUUUUUCAUAGCAUAGCUUCGUCAAAUGUCUGCAAAUGUAAAUACUAAUUUCAAGGUUGCCAAAGAACUAUUUUCAGCGAAUGUUGCUCCAAUGACUCCAAUGUCACUCCUACUCACUGCCCAACCCAUGCUUGUCGUAAAAGGCGACUAACGGGAUCGGGUGUUCAGGCUCGCUGACUUGGUUGAUGCAUGUCAUCGUAUCCCAAUUGCGUGGAUCGAUGCUCAUGAUAUUAAUCAUUCGAUUAUUUACAGGAACCGCGUCAUAUAGCGGGAAUAUUUCUGAGUGCGGCGUUAAACAACAAACAAACAAAAACAUACACACACAUAGUCAUUGUAACAUAUUGUAAUUAUUGGAUGACACAAGCUUACAAUAAUAACUAAUAGAAAUGGGGCUUCUAUAUUUAUGUGCUCAGACGUGCAAGCUAGACUGGAUCGAAAGUAAUCUGCCAGAUUGUUAGACACCGUGAUAAAUCCGAACACGAUUUGUUUUCCGUGAUACAUUUUCAUCUAACUAUCACAGUUCGAGGCGUUUCAACAAAUGGCAUCAGAUGAGCGUUCAUCCGGUCUUUCAUUCUGUAAUUAUAUAAAAGUCGAAUGUUCUUUGUAACGCAGGCACCUGAAUAAAGAACGUUCUCCAACCUAUCAGAGUUCUGAGAUUAUUCUAGCAAUGUCCUCGAAGUCUUCUAUCUGUGGUCUUUGUGACGCUUGCAAAGAUUUUCAUCACACACAGUUGUGUAAGUCAGCUUAUUGACUCCAGCAUCUGAUUGGGACAGUGUUAGAAACCGCUGUACUGCCCCCGUUUUAGUUAUUCACUUGGGAAGGGAUGAUUUCAAAGGCUAGUACAUUUUCAAGUUUCCGUUCAUGAACAACUUA
rnacentral:misc_RNA from 1 species